GCACAAUGGAGUUCAGAAACCAAAAAAACGAGGAGUGUCCGAAAAUCCACAAGAGUAGGUGUUAU
rfam:Flavobacterium fluvii strain DSM 19978 genome assembly, contig: Ga0131141_101